rnacentral:rRNA from 1 species
GAUGAACGCUGGCGGCGUGCCUAAUACAUGCAAGUCGAGCGAACAGACGAGGAGCUUGCUCCUCUGACGUUAGCGGCGGUCGGGUGAGUAACACGUGGAUAACCUACCUAUAAGACUGGGAUAACUUCGGGAAACCGGAGCUAAUACCGGAUAAUAUAUUGAACCGCAUGGUUCAAUAGUGAAAGACGGUUUUGCUGUCACUUAUAGAUGGAUCCGCGCCGCAUUAGCUAGUUGGUAAGGUAACGGCUUACCAAGGCAACGAUGCGUAGCCGACCUGAGAGGGUGAGCGGCCACACUGGAACUGAGCCACGGUCCAGACUCCUACGGGAGGCAGCAGUAGGGAAUCUUCCGCAAUGGGCGAAAGCCUGACGGAGCAACGCCGCGUGAGUGAUGAAGGUCUUCGGAUCGUAAAACUCUGUUAUUAGGGAAGAACAAAUGUGUAAGUAACUAUGCACGUCUUGACGGUACCUAAUCAGAAAGCCACGGCUAACUACGUG